rnacentral:rRNA from 1 species
CCUACGGGAGGCUGCAGUGAGGAAUAUUGGUCAAUGGACGAGAGUCUGAACCAGCCAAGUAGCGUGAAGGAUGACUGCCCUAUGGGUUGUAAACUUCUUUUAUAUGGGAAUAAAACGUUCCACGUGUGGGAUUUUGUAUGUACCAUAUGAAUAAGGACCGGCUAACUCCGUGCCAGCAGCCGCGGUAAUACGGAGGAUUCGAGCGUUAUCCGGAUUUAUUGGGUUUAAAGGGAGCGUAGGUGGAUUGGUAAGUCAGUUGUGAAAGUUUGCGGCUCAACCGUAAAAUUGCAGUUGAAACUGGCAGGCUGGAGUACAGUAGAGGUGGGUGGAAUUCGUGGUGUAGCGGUGAAAUGCUUAGAUAUCACGAAGAACUCCGAUGGCGAAGGCAGCUCACUGGACUGCAACUGACACUGAGGCUCGAAAGUGUGGGUAUCAAACAGGAUUAGAUACCCUAGUAGUC